rnacentral:rRNA from 10 species
CUAAGGUAGCGAAAUUCCUUGUCAGGUAAGUUCUGACCCGCACGAAAGGUGUAACGAUCUGGGCACUGUCUCGGAGAGAGGCUCGGUGAAAUAGACAUGUCCGUGAAGAUGCGGACUACCUACACCUGGACAGAAAGACCCUAUGAAGCUUUACUGUAACCUGGAAUUGAAUUUGGGCUUUUCUUGCGCAGUCUAGGUGGGAGGCUU